rnacentral:rRNA from 1 species
AAACUUGAGAGUUUGAUCCUGGCUCAGAACGAACGCUGGCGGCAGGCUUAACACAUGCAAGUCGAGCGCCCCGCAAGGGGAGCGGCAGACGGGUGAGUAACGCGUGGGAAUCUACCCAGCUCUACGGAAUAACCCAGGGAAACUUGGACUAAUACCGUAUACGUCCUCCGGGAGAAAGAUUUAUCGGAGUUGGAUGAGCCCGCGUUGGAUUAGCUAGUUGGUGGGGUAA